GAAGAAGUGGUCUACUUCUGCCAUCCAAGAUCAGGUGUCUUGGCAGCCUCCCUGAUAAGGUUUCAAGACUUUAUGAUCUUUGUGAUGUCACUCUGGUGGCCCAUUUCCUCCACUUGUUGAUGAUGACUUUCACAGUGUUCCAUGGUACGUGUAAUGUUUUUGAAAUUCUUUUGUACCCCUCUUCUGUUCGAUACCUUUGACAAUGAGAUCUUGUUCAUGCUUUGUAAGCUCUUUGCAGACCAUGGUUUCAGCAGUCGGACGAAACCAAGAAGAUGUGAAGAAAAUCCUACAGAAACAGCUGGUCUUUAUUUGGGAUGGCGCUGCGACUGCAUGGAAAAUAAACAGAAACAGGAAAUAAAAAACAGCCAGUGAUGACUUCAUUGUAA
ensembl:lncRNA